UCUUUCUUCUCCUCUUUUUUUUUUAGCUGCAGGUGUGUGGUGGUGAAGAAUAUAGUGACUGUUACUACAGCUUGAUGUCACUCUCUUGCUUUGUGUUGAGGCGAUCAGAGUUACAUCCACCGUCAGUGAAAGCAUCAACCCCGUGAAAAAGGAAUAAGGACACUAAGCCUUUGGGAAUUUAAGCUUUGGCUUAAUUCCAAAGUCACAUGACUAGUGACUGACAGAGCCAGCUCUUGAACCAGGAUCGGAUUAUGGACAUUGUAAAGCCCAGGAUACCAAGAAGGAAAACCUUUCAUUCAUAGAGAGAUAUUAUGGGUUCAUGACCCAGAUAAUCCCAAUGGUAUCAUCACUCAUCUAAAACUGACAUCCUGGAAUGCGAAGUCAAGUGGGCCUUAGGAAGCAUCACUACCAACAAAGCUAGUAGAGGUGAUGGAAUUCCAGUUGAGCUGUUUCAAAUCCUUAAAGAUGAUGCUGUGAAAGUGCUGCAUGCAAUAUGCCAGCAAAUUCGGAAAACUCAGCAGUGGCCACAGGACUGGAAAAGCUCAGUUUUCAUUCCAAUCCCAAAGAAAGGCAAUGCCAGAGAAUGCUCAAACUACCACACAGUUGCACUCACCUAACACGCUAAUAAAGUAAUGCUCAAAAUUCUCCAAGCCAGGCUUCAGCAGGACAUGAACUGUGAACUUCCAGAUGUUCAAGCUGGUUUUAGAAAAGGCAGAGGAACCAGAGAUCAAAUUGCCAACAUCUGUUGGAUCAUCGAAAAAGCAAAGAGAGUUCCAGAAAAACAUCUAUUUCUGCUUUAUUGACUAUGCCAAAGCCUUUGACUGUGCAGAUCACAAUAAACUGUGGAAAAUUCUGAAAGAGAUGGGAAUACCAGACCACGUGACCUGCCUCUUGAGAAAUCUGUAUACAGAUCAGGAAGCAACAGUUAGAAUUGAACACGGAACAAUAGACUGAUUCCAAAUCCGGAAAGGAGUACAUCAAGGCUGUAUAUUGUCACCCUGCUUAUUUAACUUAUAUGCAGAGUACAUCAUGAGAAAUGCUGGACUGGAUGAAGCACAAGGUGGAAUAAAGAUUGCCAGGAGAAAUAUCAGUAACCUCAGAUAUGCAGAUGACACCACCCUUGUCACCAUUUGGCAGAAAGCAAAGAAGAGCUAAAGAGCCUCUUGAUGAAAGUGAAAGAGGAGAGUGAAAAAGCUGGGUUAAAACUCAACAUUCAGAAAACUAAGAUCGUGGCAUCUGGUCCCAUCACAUCAUGGCAAAUAGAUGGGGAAACAGUGGAAACGGUGACAGACUUUAUGUUGGGGGGCUCCAAAAUCACUGCAGAUGGUGAUUGCAGCCAUGAAAUUAAAAGACCCUUGCUCCUUGGAAGAAAAAUUAAGACCACCCUAGACAGUAUAUUAAAAAGCAGAGACAUUACUUUGCCAACAAAGGUCCAUCUAGUCAAAGCUAUGGUAUUUCCAGUGUCAUGUAUGGAUGUAAGAGUUGGACUAUAAAGAAAGCUGAGUGCCAAAGAAUAGAUGUUUUUGAACUGUGGUAUUGGAGAAGACCUCUUUGAAAGUUUCCCUUGGAUGGCAAGGAGAUCCAGCCAGCCCAUCCUAAAGGAAACCAGUCCUGCAUAUUCAUUAGAAGGACUGAUGUUGAAGCUGAAACUCCAGUACUUUGGCUAUCUGAUGUGAAGAACUGACUCAUUUGAAAAGACCUUGAUGCUGGGAAAGAUUGAAGGCAGGAGGAGAAGGGGGUGACAGAGGAUGAGAUGGUUGGAUGGCAUCACCGACUCGAUGGACAUGAGUUUGAGUAAAUGGUGAUGUUGGGAGUUGGUGAUGGACAGGGAGGCCUGGCAUGCUGCAGUCCAUGGAGUGCAUGCAAAGUGUCAGACACGACUGAGUGACUGAACUGAACUGACUGAACUGAUGGCUUGAACCAAAAGAGAAGUGGGGACAGAGACAGAGGAUAGAUUCCAUGAAUUGUUGGAAGAUAAGCAAUGAAAUAUUUGGUGAUUAAUAUAGCAAGUAAGGGAGAAGAUGAGAGUAAUUUCCAGUUUGGUGAUGUCAAUAGUUUGCACUGGGAUGCCGUUAAUAAAAAGGAUACUAGAAGAGAAAUAGAUUUGAAUCAUAGGAAAGAAGAGCUACUAAGGUGAAUUUUAGGAAGUAGAGCGUUUGAGACUCAUCCAGGUGGAGAAGAUAAGUAGUACUUGGAACUAAAGCUGAAGAUGUCCCAGGAGAGGCUGGGUUAGGACUGCUUUGACUUGGGAAUGAUUAAAGUGAAGCAUCAGUAUUUUAAGGGAAUUACUAGUGGCAGAGGAAUCAUCUAAGAAACUGAGGAGGAUCUGCCAGAGUGAUGGGAAGAGGACCAGAAGAGAGAGCUUGGAAGACCUGAUUCUAAGAGCUGUGGAAAGAGUGGGAGAGG